GAUGAACGCUGGCGGCGUGCUUAACACAUGCAAGUCGAACGGGAAUUCUUUUAUUGAACCUUCGGUCGAUUUAAUUUAAUUCUAGUGGCGGACGGGUGAGUAACGCGUGGGUAACCUGCCUUAUACAGGGGGAUAACAGUCAGAAAUGGCUGCUAAUACCGCAUAAGCGCACAGAGCUGCAUGGCUCAGUGUGAAAAACUCCGGUGGUAUAAGAUGGACCCGCGUUGGAUUAGCUGGUUGGUGGGGUAACGGCCCACCAAGGCGACGAUCCAUAGCCGGCCUGAGAGGGUGAACGGCCACAUUGGGACUGAGACACGGCCCAGACUCCUACGGGAGGCAGCAGUGGGGAAUAUUGCACAAUGGGGGAAACCCUGAUGCAGCGACGCCGCGUGAAGGAAGAAGUAUCUCGGUAUGUAAACUUCUAUCAGCAGGGAAGAUAGUGACGGUACCUGACUAAGAAGCCCCGGCUAACUACGUG
rnacentral:rRNA from 1 species